GGGGGGGGACAAGAAGACAAAGGGACAACAGCGUUUCAAUAAAGACGGUUCACGAGGCGUCGGUGUCUACGAAGAGGGUCUCUUUGGUUUCUUCACUUGAUGAGACGGUGAGAAAUGCUCCAUCUUCAAUCACUCGAUCAAACGGACCAGAAUAAAUCAAAAG
rnacentral:sRNA from 1 species